rnacentral:rRNA from 1 species
UACGGGGGGGGCAAGCGUUGUUCGGAAUUACUGGGCGUAAAGGGCUCGUAGGUGGCCAACUAAGUCAUACGUGAAAUCCCUCAGCUUAACUGGGGAACUGCGUCUGAUACUGGAUGGCUUGAGUUUGGGAGAGGGAUGCGGAAUUCCAGGUGUAGCGGUGAAAUGCGUAGAUAUCUGGAGGAACACCGGUGGCGAAGGCGGCCCCCUGGUUGGAUACUGACGCUGAGACGCGAAAGCGUGGGGAGCAAACAGG